GACGAACGCUGGCGGCGUGCCUAAUACAUGCAAGUAGAACGCAGUUGCGAACGGGUGAGUAACGCGUAGGUCACUGCCUGGUAGCGGGGGCUAACUAUUGGAAACGAUAGCUAAUACCGCAUACUACCAGAUGGACCUGCGUUGUAUUAGCUAGUUGGUGGGGUAACGGCUCACCAAGGCAACGAUACAUAGCCGAGCUGGGAGGGAUAACGGCCCAACUGGGACUGAGACACCGGCCAGACUCCUACGGGGGGGAGCAGUAGGGAAACUUCGGAAAUGGGGGGAAACCUGACCGAGCAACGCCGCGUGAGUGAAGAAGGUUUUCGGGGCGUAAAGCUAUGUUGUUAAGGAAGCGGUACUUAACCAGAAAGGGACGGCUAACUACGUGCCAGCAGCCGCGGUAAUUC
rnacentral:rRNA from 1 species